UUUUUUUUUUUAAAUUUUCUUUGAUUAUUUUUUUUUUCCCUUUGGUUUUGCAAAGAGGUUGGGCAAACAUCAGAGCCACCAAGGCCAGGGCAGGAACCUAAGGUCAGAUAAAGUAGAAAUCAGGUCUGGAGUUCUAAUAAUGGCUGGAAGUCAAUUUUAUCACCACUACUGCCAUCCAUACUUCUACUCUUAUUGAUGCUGUUGGCCUGACUUCCUUGUGUGCUUCUCUUCACUCUACCAAGGUAUAAAAUUUGACUUCUCUACUGUCUUCGAUUACAGCCUUUUCCCAUUCAUGGGAUGCUCCCUCCAGUCUUG